AGAGUUGAUCUGGCUCAGGAUGAGCGCUAGCUACAGGCUUAACACAUGCAAGUCGAGGGCAGCAUGAUCGAAGCUUGCUUGAUUGAUGGCGACCGGCGCACGGGUGAGUAACGCGUAUCCAACCUUCCCUAUAGUAGAGGAUAGCCCGGCGAAAGUCGGAUUAAUACUCUAUGUUUUCCAGUGCAGGCAUCUAAAAUGGAACAAAGGUUUACCGCUAUAGGAUGGGGAUGCGUCUGAUUAGGUUGUUGGCGGGGUAACGGCCCACCAAGCCUACGAUCAGUAGGGGUUCUGAGAGGAAGGUCCCCCACAUUGGAACUGAGACACGGUCCAAACUCCUACGGGAGGCAGCAGUGAGGAAUAUUGGUCAAUGGGCGAGAGCCUGAACCAGCUAAGUAGCGUGCAGGAUGACGGCCCUAUGGGUUGUAAACUGCUUUUAUAUAGGGAUAAAGUGACCCACGUGUGGGUUUUUGUAGGUACUAUAUGAAUAAGGACCGGCUAAUUCCGUGCCAGCAGCUGC
rnacentral:rRNA from 1 species